CUUUAGAUCAACUUUGUAAAAAUGACAGCACGUGUGCUGCAAAGUUGACAAGUUUUCUCAAAAAUAAGAAAUGGAAGCCUAAUGAAAGACAACAGCUGCUUACAGAAAUCUCGAGUUUAUUUCUCGAACCACAAUGCACUGCCAGUAUUUGUUGUUAUUUACGACCCUUGGCAUUAGACAUUGCAGAAAGGAUAAAGUCGACCAUUAUUCACGGCGAGGGGAAUAAACAAAAUAAACAACUUAUUAGAUUUACAGUAGCACUCAGUAGAGCUAUCCGAAUAUGUCCUGAUCUAAAAAGUUUGACGUUGAAUUUUAUGAAGGCGUAUAAACCACUUACAAGUCAAGCAGAAGAUGAGGAAACCAUUGAACCACGAAAAAAGAAAGCCAGAAAGGAUAAGAUGCUUGAUCUAACUUUAUGUCAAACUGCAUGGUACCUAGUGGAUGCAUUAGGACCUGAUGUCAAAGACUAUAUU